UACGAAGGGAGCAAGCGUUGUCCGGAAUCAUUGGGCGUAAAGCGCGCGUAGGUGGCUUCGUAAGUCCGUUGUGAAAGUCAAAGGCUCAACCUUUGAAAGCCGAUGGAUACUGCGGAGCUAGAGUACGGAAGAGGCGAGUGGAAUUCCUGGUGUAGCGGUGGAAUGCGCAGAUAUCAGGAGGAACACCAAUAGCGAAGGCAGCUCGCUGGGACGUUACUGACACUGAGGCGCGAAAGCGUGGGGAGCGAACAGG
rnacentral:rRNA from 1 species